AUUGAACGCUGGCGGCAGGCCUAACACAUGCAAGUCGAGCGGAUGAUGGGAGCUUGCUCCUUGAUUCAGCGGCGGACGGGUGAGUAAUGCCUAGGAAUCUGCCUGGUAGUGGGGGACAACGUUUCGAAAGGAACGCUACUACCGCAUACGUCCUACGGGAGAAAGCAGGGGACCUUCGGGCCUUGCGCUAUCAGAUGAGCCUAGGUCGGAUUAGCUUGUUGGUGAGGUAAUGGCUCACCAAGGCGACGAUCCGUAACUGGUCUGAGAGGAUGAUCAGUCACACUGGAACUGAGACACGGUCCAGACUCCUACGGGAGGCAGCAGUGGGGAAUAUUGGACAAUGGGCGAAAGCCUGAUCCAGCCAUGCCGCGUGUGUGAAGAAGGUCUUCGGAUUGUAAAGCACUUUAAGUUGGGAGGAAGGGUUGUAGAUUAAUACUCUGCAAUUUUGACGUUACCGACAGAAUAAGCACCGGCUAACUCUGUGCCAGCCGCCGCGGUAAUAC
rnacentral:rRNA from 1 species